rfam:Haemonchus contortus, ISE/inbred ISE, WGS project CAVP01000000 data, contig: Hcontortus_122
AGCUCAAAGUUGAAGUAGCGUAGAUUAGUAGUAUCAGCUGAUCCUACUAAUCUAAUCUAUUCCAAAUUUGGGCUC